AGUGACUGCUGGAGCGACUCCGAGGUGUUUGCUGCGGCGCAACACGUCACGGGUUUACCGCACGUGCGGGGCGUGGAAUAGUACGGGUGCCUAUAAGCAGCUGGAGGAGGCGUGUUGGCGUCGUUGUCAGACGAGCAUCACUGAAGGCGCGGAACACAUAGAAGGAAGACGUACGUCCGGGUCAUAUCCACAUCUUUUUUUGGCAAGAAAACCAUCUUAAAUCUGCGACACGUUAAUCCCGGAAGGGACGGGACUCUUCUUCUCCCCCCUCAUCCACUUGAAGGGGCGUGGAGAGGCUUCUUCAGACGCGUCUGUUGAGUGCUUUACCCACGCAGCCGGAAUGCCUUCUUUUGAAUUAUUCCAAGAAUCUCCGGUCAACCAAGUCCCAAAUAUUUUCAGCACUUCCAGAGGAAUAAUCAACCAUAGCUUUUCUAGACC